CUUUUAUGGAGAGUUUGAUCCUGGCUCAGGACGAACGCUGGCGGCGUGCCUAAUACAUGCAAGUCGAGCGGACUUUAGAAAAGCUUGCUUUUC
rnacentral:rRNA from 1 species